rnacentral:rRNA from 1 species
CGUACACUCCUACGGGAGGCAGCAGUGGGGAAUAUUGGACAAUGGGCGCAAGCCUGAUCCAGCCAUGCCGCGUGAGUGAUGAAGGCCCUAGGGUUGUAAAGCUCUUUCACCGGUGAAGAUAAUGACGGUAACCGGAGAAGAAGCCCCGGCUAACUUCGUGCCAGCAGCCGCGGUAAUACGAAGGGGGCUAGCGUUGUUCGGAUUUACUGGGCGUAAAGCGCACGUAGGCGGACUAUUAAGUCAGGGGUGAAAUCCCGGGGCUCAACCCCGGAACUGCCUUUGAUACUGGUAGUCUUGAGUUCGAGAGAGGUGAGUGGAAUUCCGAGUGUAGAGGUGAAAUUCGUAGAUAUUCGGAGGAACACCAGUGGCGAAGGCGGCUCACUGGCUCGAUACUGACGCUGAGGUGCGAAAGCGUGGGGAGCAAACAGGAUUAGAUACCCGGGUAGUCCCAUG